CAGAUCGGAAGCGAGAAUGUUGACAUGAGUAGCGACAAACAGGGUGAGAAACCCUGUCGCCGAAAGUCCAAGGGUUCCUGCUUAAAGCUAAUCUGAGCAGGGUAAGCCGGCCCCUAAGGCGAGGCCGAAAGGCGUAGUCGAUGGGAACCAGGUUAAUAUUCCUGGGCCAGUGGGAUGUGACGGAUCGCAGAUGUAGUUUGCCCUUAUCGGAUUGGGUGGGCUGCUGAGCGGUUCCUGGAAAUAGCCCCACAUCAGACCGUACCCUAAACCGACACAGGUGGACUGGUAGAGUAUACCAAGGCGCUUGAGAGAACCACGUUAAAGGAACUCGGCAAAAUGCCUCCGUAAGUUCGCGAGAAGGGGCCCCGUCUGUAGGCAACUAUGGGCGGGGGGCACAAACUAGGGGGUGGCGACUGUUUACUUAAAACACAGGGCUGUGCGAAGCCGUAAGGCGACGUAUACAGUCUGACGCCUGCCCGGUGCUGGAAGAUUAAGAGGAGGGGUGCAAGCUCUGAAUUGAAGUCCCAGUAAACGGCGGCCGUAACGAUAACGGUCCUAAGGUAGCGAAAUUCCUUGUCGGGUAAGUUCCGACCUGCACGAAUGGCGUAACGAUCUCCCCGCUGUCUCUAACGUGGACUCAGCGAAAUUGAACUGUGUGUCAAGAUGCACACUACCCGCGGUUAGACGGAAAGACCCCAUGAACCUUUGCUCCAGCUUUGCACUGGUAUCAGGAUUGUGAUGUGCAGGAUAGGUGGUAGGCAUUGAAUCGGGGACGCCAGUCUUCGUGGAGCCUCCCUUGAGAUACCACCCUUCGCCAUCUUGAUAUCUAACCGCGGCCCGUUAUCCGGGUCCGGGACCCUGCAUGGUGGGGAGUUUGACUGAGGCGGUCGCCUCCCAAACAGUAACGGAGGCGCGCGAUGGUUGGCUCAGACCGGUCGGAAAUCGGUCGUUGAGUGCAAUGGCAGAAGCCAGCCUGACUGCAAGACUGACAAGUCGAGCAGAGACGAAAGUCGGUCAUAGUGAUCCGGUGGUCCCAAGUGGGAGGGCCAUCGCUCAACGGAUAAAAGGUACUCUGGGGAUAACAGGCUGAUGAUGCCCAAGAGUCCAUACCGACGGCAUCGUUUGGCACCUCGAUGUCGGCUCAUCUCAUCCUGGGGCUGGAGCAGGUCCCAAGGGUAUGGCUGUUCGCCAUUUAAAGAGGUACGUGAGCUGGGUUUAGAACGUCGUGAGACAGUUCGGUCCCUAUCUGCCGUGGGUGCAGGAGACUUGAGAAGAGUUGACCCUAGUACGAGAGGACCGGGUUGAACGAACCACUGGUGGACCAGUUAUCGUGCCAACGGUAGUGCUGGGUAGCUAUGUUCGGACAGGAUAACCGCUGAAGGCAUCUAAGCGGGAAGCCCCCUUCAAAACAAGGUCUCCCUUGAGGGCCGUGGAAGACGACCACGUCGAUAGGCCAGAGGUGUAAGUGCAGCAAUGCAUUCAGCUGACUGGUACUAAUUGCCC
rnacentral:rRNA from 1 species